rnacentral:rRNA from 1 species
UUCUGGUGUCAGCCGCCGCGGUAAAACCAGCACCUCAAGUGGUCAGGAUGAUUAUUGGGCCUAAAGCAUCCGUAGCCGGUUCUGUAAGUUUUCGGUUAAAUCUGUACGCUCAACGUACAGGCUGCCGGGAAUACUGCAAAACUAGGGAGUGGGAGAGGUAGACGGUACUCGGUAGGAAGGGGUAAAAUCCUUUGAUCUAUUGAUGACCACCUGUGGCGAAGGCGGUCUACCAGAACACGUCCGACGGUGAGGGAUGAAAGCUGGGGGAGCAAACCGGAUUAGAUACCCGGGUAGUCCCAGCUGUAAACUAUGCAAACUCAGUGAUGCAUUGGCUUGUGGCCAAUGCAGUGUUGCAGGGAAGCCGUUAAGUUUGC